rnacentral:rRNA from 1 species
UACGUAGGGUGCAAGCGUUGCCCGGAUUUAUUGGGCGUAAAGGGCGCGUAGGCGGCUCUGCACGUCCGUUGUGAAAUCGCCCGGCUCAACUGGGCGGGGUCAGCGGAUACGGCAGAGCUUGAGCAAGCUAGGGGGCAAUGGAAUUCCCGGUGUAGUGGUGGAAUGCGUAGAUAUCGAGAGGAACACCGGUGGCGAAGGCGGGUCUCUGGGCAAUAACUGACGCUGAGGAGCGAAAGCGUGGGGAGCGAACAGG